CACCCUUCAUGGCUUUAUUUUUUCCCGUCAUAGUGGGUACUUUCUACUACACAUAAUUCAUUUUAUUUUAAACAUCGUUUUACUUGUUUAUUUAGUUACGUUUUCAAAAUGUUUUGGCUUAUUUGUUUUGGUCUUCUUCUAUUUUCUCAGCACUGGGCACUACAGUGGGAGGUGGAGUCGUUGUGUGUUCAGUGCUAUAACCUCCGCACCUAAGGAUAGCUUGUAAUGACUGAUGAAUGAAUGAAACGGAGUGACUUUCUCAGUCCUCCAAUCUGUCUCCCACAGGUGCGGUGGCCUCAGUCCCCCUCGCCCGCCCCAGCCUCUGAGUCCCCCUCACUGAUAGUCCCCCAGGCAGGGACCAGGAGGCAACACAAGGUCACAGCCCAGGCCAAGGCCAUGGCCGGAUGGCACAGUCCAGCCAGCAAAGCCCAGAGCACUCACUGCUGCUAGAGAAUGCAGUGUUUGAGAGAAAUGAUACUACCGCAUAGAGUCCUCGUAGAUUGGGGGACAGAGUGGGAGACGCAGGCCAAGCACGAAGGUGCAUCUCCCCCAGACAGGAAGAAUGAAGAGAUGAGUCAACAAGUCAACAACCUCCUCAGACAAGCAGACAAAAUAUGCAUUUCCACAUAUUGAAGAAUUUGGAUGCAAAUGGAGUCAUUAUAAAAACAUACAAGGAGGUAGGGAAAGGGAAAAUGAACACAGUAAAAAAUAUUAAAUUAAAGGCACGAAUGGGAUUUUUUUAGAUUGGAAGCCACUGAUAAGGUUGUAAGAGGGUGCUUAAAUCAGACUCCAAAGAGUUAAGUCCAGUCUUAGCUAACAGCACCUGCUGUAAGUCCAGGGCACAUUCAGCAGUAUUGUGUUAAAGAUAAUAGCAGCCUUAUUACAACAGACAGCGCCAUAUACAUUAGUGCCCACACAAUGUCACCUGUCUGUGAAUUCAGCAGAAUUUUGUUCACAGAGUAAUACAGGAUUGCCAUUGUUGCAGCUUAGAACUACACAUUCAUUAAUAGAAACACAAUAUCAGUGGCACUUCUAUGCAAC
rnacentral:lncRNA from 1 species